CAGCAAUGCCGCGUGUGAAGAAGGCCUUCGGGUUGUAAAGCACUUUUAUCGGGAGCGAAAUACCAUGGGUUAAUAACCGGUGGGGCUGACGGUACCCGAGGAAUAAGCACCGGCUAACUUCGUGCCAGCAGCCGCGGUAAUACGAAGGGUGCAAGCGUUAAUCGGAAUUACUGGGCGUAAAGGGUGCGUAGGCGGUUUGUUAAGUCUGUCGUGAAAUCCCCGGGCUCAACCUGGGAAUGGCGAUGGAAACUGGCAGGCUAGAGUGUGUCAGAGGAUGGUGGAAUUCCCGGUGUAGCGGUGAAAUGCGUAGAGAUCGGGAGGAACAUCAGUGGCGAAGGCGGCCAUCUGGGACAACACUGACGCUGAAGCACGAAAGCGUGGGGAGCAAACAGGAUUAGAUACCCUGGUAA
rnacentral:rRNA from 1 species